CGGUGGAAUGCGCAGAUAUCAGGAGGAACACCGAUGGCGAAGGCAGAUCUCUGGGCCGCUACUGACGCUGAGGAGCGAAAGCAUGGGGAGCGAACAGGAUUAGAUACCCUGGUAGUCCAUGCCGUAAACGUUGGGAACUAGAUGUAGGGCCUGUUCCACGGGUUCUGUGUCGUAGCUAACGCAUUAAGUUCUCCGCCUGGGGAGUACGGCCGCAAGGCUAAAACUCAAAGGAAUUGACGGGGGCCCGCACAAGCGGCGGAGCAUGCGGAUUAAUUCGAUGCAACGCGAAGAACCUUACCAAGGCUUGACAUAGCCGAGAACGCUGUAGAGAUACAGAACUCUUUGGACACUCGGUUACAGGUGGUGCAUGGUUGUCGUCAGCUCGUGUCGUGAGAUGUUCGGUUAAGUCCGGCAACGAGCGCAACCCUCGUCCUAUGUUGCCAGCACGUUAUGGUGGGAACUCAUGGGAUACUGCCGUGGUCAACACGGAGGAAGGUGGGGAUGACGUCAAGUCAUCAUGCCCCUUAUGUCUUGGGCUUCACGCAUGCUACAAUGGCCGAUACAAAGGGCUGCGAUACCGCGAGGUGGAGCGAAUCCCAAAAAGUCGGUCUCAGUUCGGAUUGGGGUCUGCAACUCGACCCCAUGAAGUCGGAGUCGCUAGUAAUCGCAGAUCAGCAACGCUGCGGUGAAUACGUUCCCGGGCCUUGUACACACCGCCCGUCAAGUCAUGAAAGUCGGUAACACCCGAAGCCGGUGGCCUAACCCUUGUGGAGGGAGCCGUCGAAGGUGGGACUGGUGAUUAGGACU
rnacentral:rRNA from 1 species